rnacentral:lncRNA from 1 species
GCUGCCGUAAAAGGCUAGAGGACAAACAAAAUGCUGCACAGGCCCAAAUAAAGACAACUAUAGACACAUAGCAGAGGUUUCCUGCUUCAAGUAGCUAUUAUAUUAACCUACACUUUAGGCAAAGAGCAUUUUAGGUUUCACACUGAUGAAAACAUAGGAUGAGCAGAAGCAUCAAUAAAAGUUGCACCUUUAAUGAAACAGAUGAAACAGGCCAGCAAAGCUGUGAUCUUCUCCUUUCAAAACCUUGUCACUGCCGUUCAGCAGAAAUCCCACAGGUAUGGGACCAUCCUGCUAGAACAAAAUGCAUGUACUGGAACUCCAGUGCCAUUUUUGCAAAGACUCUGGAUACACUGAAGGCAUUUCUCAGCAUGAUCUGCAAGGGAAAAUAUUGAAGAAGCCAGAAAAAGAGGGAAGCAAAACCACCUCCAAUGCACCAAGUGUUUUUGCAGAAACAGCAGCAUGGCCGAGGUACCUCCAUCCCUUCACUCCGAUGGCAGUCACAUCACAGGAUCUGCAAGGAGUGGAUCUACGAGAAGUGUCGUUUGAAUUCCUGUGACACUGCAUGCGAGGGGACCUGGUUCAAUUACCUGAUAGAAGUACACAGACUUCUUGUUUGAGACAAACUGGGGAAAGCACUGCUUGGGGACACUGAUUAACACCUUCCAACACAGUUCUGAUUACUUUAAUCCAGUCACUUAGCUUACCAGCAAAUUAUCUCUUUUCAAGAUAGUGGGGUUUGCUGACGCAGGGAAUCUCAUCUUGCAGUGAUUCCUGAUAUUUCAAACAUUCUUUUCCUCCAAAUCAGAACAAAAUCCCUUCAAAUUUUAUUAUUUUAUGAACCUUUUUUUUUUCCAAUCUUCUGGUUAAAAUUUAUUUUUGAAUCACUUUUAUCAUUACAAUUCUUAUUAUUAAUGGGUAAUAAAUAAACAACAUUUAGAAUCCA